GCAAGUCGUACGCUUCUUUUUCCACCGGAGCUUGCUCCACCGGAAAAAGAGGAGUGGCGAACGGGUGAGUAACACGUGGGUAACCUGCCCAUCAGAAGGGGAUAACACUUGGAAACAGGUGCUAAUACCGUAUAACAAUCGAAACCGCAUGGUUUUGAUUUGAAAGGCGCUUUCGGGUGUCGCUGAUGGAUGGACCCGCGGUGCAUUAGCUAGUUGGUGAGGUAACGGCUCACCAAGGCCACGAUGCAUAGCCGACCUGAGAGGGUGAUCGGCCACAUUGGGACUGAGACACGGCCCAAACUCCUACGGGAGGCAGCAGUAGGGAAUCUUCGGCAAUGGACGAAAGUCUGACCGAGCAACGCCGCGUGAGUGAAGAAGGUUUUCGGAUCGUAAAACUCUGUUGUUAGAGAAGAACAAGGAUGAGAGUAACUGUUCAUCCCUUGACGGUAUCUAACCAGAAAGCCACGGCUAACUACGUGCCAGCAGCCGCGGUAAUACGUAGGUGGCAAGCGUUGUCCGGAUUUAUUGGGCGUAAAGCGAGCGCAGGCGGUUUCUUAAGUCUGAUGUGAAAGCCCCCGGCUCAACCGGGGAGGGUCAUUGGAAACUGGGAGACUUGAGUGCAGAAGAGGAGAGUGGAAUUCCAUGUGUAGCGGUGAAAUGCGUAGAUAUAUGGAGGAACACCAGUGGCGAAGGCGGCUCUCUGGUCUGUAACUGACGCUGAGGCUCGAAAGCGUGGGGAGCAAACAGGAUUAGAUACCCUGGUAGUCCACGCCGUAAACGAUGAGUGCUAAGUGUUGGAGGGUUUCCGCCCUUCAGUGCUGCAGCUAACGCAUUAAGCACUCCGCCUGGGGAGUACGACCGCAAGGUUGAAACUCAAAGGAAUUGACGGGGGCCCGCACAAGCGGUGGAGCAUGUGGUUUAAUUCGAAGCAACGCGAAGAACCUUACCAGGUCUUGACAUCCUUUGACCACUCUAGAAGAUAGAGCUUCCCCUUCGGGGGCAAAGUGACAGGUGGUGCAUGGUUGUCGUCAACUCGUGUCCUGAGAAGUUGGGGUUAUUCCCGCAACAGGGCAACCCUUAAUGGUAAUUGCCAUCAUUCAAURGGG
rnacentral:rRNA from 1 species